rnacentral:rRNA from 1 species
UACGUAGGGGGCAAGCGUUGUCCGGAAUCAUUGGGCGUAAAGAGCGUGUGAGGCGCUUGGCAAGUCUCGCGUGAAAUCCUGCGGCUCAACCGCAGGCGGUCGCGGGAAACUGCCUCGCUAGAGUCCGGAAGAGGAGAGUGGAAUUCCUGGUGUAGCGGUGGAAUGCGCAGAUAUCAGGAAGAACACCCGUGGCGAAGGCGGCUCUCUGGGACGGUACUGGACGCUGAGACGCGAAAGCGUGGGGAGCGAACAGG